rnacentral:lncRNA from 7 species
UCGACGGCACAACAGACCCGCACGUACCGCGUCUUCCUCGCCGGUGAUCUCGGCGUCCGUGCAACGACCACGAAGCGUUACUGGAGUAUAAGUACGAGGCCUCUGACUCCCUCCUCACCUUUCCCUCGAUUCUUCCCUCUGCACCGUCACCAGAACGCCUGCGUGUGGCGAGGGAGAUUGCCGCCAUUGACAAUCUCGACGCGCGUCGUCCACCUGGGCUCGUGAAGCAAUCCGAGCGAAAGGAGGAGGAUCUGGCGGGGUGUUACCCUCGCAAUUGGUGUGCGCAGCUAGCUUGGAGCCCGGUAAUCGCUCGCCGGAGGGCGUGCGCAGGCCUGGUCCACGACCGACCGUCGACCAACCGGGACGAGCAAGCUACUGUGGAAACUGAGGUU